AAACAGAAACAAGAAAAUGAGAGAGCUUAUUAUAGAUGACUUCACUCCAAAUCCACAAUACGGCAUAGACUUUGAGAACAAUUAUUUUAUGAGGUUCUGCGAUUGCUAAAAAUUUGUGUUAAUGUUUUAGGCUAUGUGUACCUCUCACUUAGGUAGACACAGGCUUUCCAAGGUAUGAAUGGACUGCCAAUUCUUCAGCUCUGCCCUUUCAAUGAAGCAAACCCUAAAUAUGCCAAAUGCUGGUGAGAGUUCUUUUGUGUGGAAGAAAACAUGUUAUACUUUUUGCUCUCAUAAAGAGAGCACACAUGUGGAAGGGUGGCACAGCAAUAUUGUACACAGAAGCCUUUCUGGUGGCAGAUCACUUCACAGCCUGUAUCUCUGCAGGCUCAUUUUAUCACCAAACCAACUGAAUCACAUCAUUCAAUAAAAAGCAUCAUUCCUAAACACUAGGCAUUUUGGGCAAAGACCAUUCUAAAUGAUGAUUUCUUUCUUUUAUUUUCUGGUUUUAAGGGACUCCAAUAUUGGUGUUUAAAGAAGAAAUAAGUCACAUUAAAAAUGGAGGUGGUAGUGGCUUACCAGAGCUCAUUUUCUAUGCAACCCACAGGCACCCAUGGUUAAAUGGCCAAUGAUGAAUAACUCCCAGUACCUUCUGCCAGACUUAAAUGGUAAUAUUCCUCAUUUUACUGCAACAAAUGAGGCUCCUCCUCCUAUCAGUCAUGGUCCAUUCCAAUCAGUAGGGUGCCAAUAAAGCCAGAGGCUAAUGAAAAGGGCUUCAGACAAAGAGAGACAAUGGAGCGCUCCAGGCCCAACCCUGGAACUCAGAAUUCGAGGUUUUAAACACUGAAGCUUUUGGACAUUUCAGUUAAUCUUUAUUAUGCUAAUGUUAUUGAGUCUAAGGAACAAAGAAAUUUAUUUCAUGAAUUACUUCUAAACGUCAACUUCCCUGGAUUUUCUUUUCUUUUGUUAGAGACCACUGACCAUUUAACUAUCUAGAUUAAAACACACACAUUCUCCCUCUCUUCUUCCCUCCCUGGCUCAUAGAAAUCAAAACAUAAAUUAUCACAAAGAAGUCUGAUAUAAUCAACAAAGUUAAACAGUCCUCUCGUUUGAUCUCUUCUAAAUUAAAGACUGAAUGUUUUGAUAUGGUAUUAGGCACUGAAAUAAACCAGAUGUUUCUUCCUCCAUGUAACUCUCCAUGGGCACAGUCUUAAAGGGUGAUUGUCUGGCAAAUGUUCAGGGACACACAGAUUUUUCCUUCCCUUCUAUCUACCCACGUCUAUUAUCUAAACUAGUGUACAAUCCACAGGGCUUUGGGGACUUUGUGUAAAUACCUUCAUGUACAAUUCUCUUUCUUGCUAUCCUGAGAUUAAGACCACAAUUAUCCAGGCUUAAACCUAAAAUAAAAGAACCUUUGCAAAUGCAUUAUCUGGCCUUACAUGUUUAAUCACGUAGCAUUCUGAGUGUUCUUUAAAACCUAAACUGAAGAACAAAGGUUGUACCCUCUGGUGUUUCACACAUGAAAGACCUUCUAAGGCAACUAGGGAUCUAGAAUUAACUUCUAAUGACAACAGUGGUAUUUUCCCAUCAAAAAUAGAUGCUAUUAUUAUAUUAGAGAUACCACAUUCUAACUAUCUAUAAUUCUUAACAUAAAAUUCUGAUAAGCAUUUAGACUUUCAGAUGUAAUCCUCCUUAAGUUUCUUUCUCUCCUGUCUUCUAAUUCUUCCAAUCACCAGACAGCUCACUGUUUUUGUUUUUUAGUACAUUUUAAAAAUUAAACAUUAAUGAGAAUGAGAGUCUGUAAGGAAAGUUGGAGAAACAAUGAUGCAGAAGUAGGGGGAGGCUGAAGGAAGGGACAGGAAAUGUGCACAUGAGGGUCUGUAGUGAUGGAACAGAUGGAAUACAUCACCCUCAGCUAUGACAGAAAUGAUUUAUGGAAUGACCUGGCAAUUCCUGCUUAGUAACAACACAGGAUGACAGAGAUGAGUUUCCAUGACAACUAAAGCCCACCCACUAGCUAGAUUAAACAUUUCUUCCUGGCUUCCACUCAGUGAAUUUGGAUUUUCUCUCCAAAUACCAUUCUAGUUUGUCUAGCAUGCUGUUCAUAAUAUGGAAGGAUAAUCAAGGAUAUCAGGGUAACUAAAGGAAGCUUGAAGGACCACUGAAAAUAUUACAAAGUCCUGUCUGCCCACACCACAGUUUCUUUACAUAUAUUUUCCUCAGAAAAACAAAAUGACUCCCAAAUGGAGAUUUUAUUUUUAAAACUGGCUUACUAUUAAGAGUCAAAUGCUACUUGUCCCCUUACAUGUGAAUGAACUAUCUGCUACUGGAUCUUCUAAGACAAACAGGCUGAAUAUGGCAUGACAAUCAAAUACCCAAGAAAAUUUCUUCCUACACAAGUUUUCUUCAGGGGAAAAAAAAGACUUCUGCUAAAUAAAGAAUAAUGGCUAUUACAUGAAUGAGGAAACUAAGGUAAGUAAAUCAAAUCAGAGGAAACCACAUACAUACUGACCUGCACGAAGGCUCCUAAGGGGAAUGAGAAAAUGAGGGUGAGACCUCAUAUUACAGGCAAAGUUUGGUUUUUGUAGAGAAAAAAAAUUCUGAACAUAAAAGCUUUACAAGAUAAAGCUGAACAGAAUGACACACACCUUUAAUCCCAAUGCUGAAUUUGAGGCUAACCUGGUCUACAGAACAAGUUCCAGAACAGCCAGGGGUAUAUAGAGAAAUUCUGUCUUGAAAAAAAACAAACAAAAAAUCCAAACACUCUCCUCCCCCACAAAGGAAGAGACCUUACAAAUGAAGACAGUAAAUAAAUCUCUAAGCAGCUUUACUGUUUAUACACGAGUACAAGUUCAGUUUUUCAUGACAGAAACAGUUUGCAGUCUGUGGCUCUAAAAGGCCCUCUGGCACUGUUCUAACUCUGCUUUUGGUAUCUCAGCCAUGGCUCGCAAAACACAGAUGCAGAGCUACGGACCGGCAGUUGUGCCAGUCUCAGUUCAGAUCAAAGCACAACUGAUGUGGUCAGGGAGUUUAUUGGCUCCAGAUGUGUGGAACAGUCAGCCAAUUCUACAAAAAGAGCAAGUCUUCCUUCGUCACAAUCAGUACCGGCUACAAAUUAAAACCAGGCUGCUUAUAUCAUCCAAUCACCUGUACACAGAUGCCAAUUUUUUUUAUUCUAGUUAAUGAUACAUUUAAAUCUCAAGGAUGAUUCUGAAGCACAACAAACAGCCUUAAAAUUAAGAGACAGGAGUGAAUACUUACACUUUAAGAUGAUUAAAAUCUACCAGGAGUCAACUAUUUAAAAAUAAUAGAGGGAAAGACAACUAGAUAUCUUAAGAUGUUCUAUUUAAUUUCUACAUAGGAAUUUGCUUAGAGUUCCAGCUUCAGUUUCAGAAAGUCAGGCACGGCCAGCUACUGCAGAAAUGCCACUUUGCCUUUAAGGAAGGUAGAAGGGCACUAUUGUGGUAUCUGCUCAACAGACACUCCUAAGUCAGACCACAACUGAAGUCAUAUCAUACUUCUUUCCAUCAUCAGCAAGUCUGGUUGACAAGAACAAAUUCUUUACCAGUAUCUUGAAUGUUCUCAUACUGUGCAACCCAGGGUAAUUUAAAAAGACAGUGUAGCACACUUCAGGGAUAUUUACAGUAGUGACUAUGCAAUUAUGUUCAAAAUAUUUUACUUUGCAACCAACUGUAGCAAAAUUGGCAAAGACAGAUUCCUCCCGAUCUUGGAUGCUUCAGUUUAGACAUAUGAAGGACCCUCAGAUUUGGUGCAGAGAACUCUGAAGCUCUAAAGGUUGGCAUUGUGCACUACAUCUUUUUUCAAUGCACCCCUUUUGUAAUUAUUAUUGGCAACAGUACUGUACAACAAGGAAGCAUAAUCAGUGUGGCAAUUACUGAGAAAAGAUGCAAAACACACACACACACACACACACACACACACACACACACACACACGCACGCACACACCCCAGAAGCUUUAGCUAAAAAGAUAAAUAAGUCCAUAUUCUGAUGACUGAUACUCUGAAUAGCUCAAAAGAUAAGGAGGGAGACUUUUCGUUAGAGUGAGUGACUAUUGCUUACAGGACCUUUCCCCAGAAUAAAAGAAGACCUUCAGGUGAUAAGAAAAUGCUGUCCUAUGUGCCAUGCAAUGCAGCAGCCAUUAUCCAGUGGCCACCUGAGAUGUAGAUUGUACAAAGAAAAAAUGGAAUUUUAAUUUUAUUUUCUUAAUUUAAACUGCCACACAUGGCUAACAGUCCUUUACCCAGAUGUUUAGACCUACAUAAAAAACUUUGAAAGAAGUACUUUGAAAUUGUAUAUACUCCAAGGCCUAUAAAAGACAGUCCAAAUUCUCAAAAUAUUUUGAAAAUUGUCAUGUAAUUUGGAAUAAAGAAGCACGGAUGCUGGGAGUGUGGUAAGUGGCAGGCACGUCCCUAAGCAUGCCGGAGGCCUAGGCUGCAUCAGUACUUGCAGGCGCAGAGAAGUAUACGCGUUUCUUUCUGAACACCAAGUGUAGAGUCCUAUUGGCUCUUUUGCCUGGGUGGUUUGAAUAACAGUUCUCUUUAAGCUUCCAUCAGUAUACUCAAUAUCAUUAAAAAUUUUUAAAUAUGCUAACACAAACCACUAAUAUGUGAACAUUCUAGACUAGUAACAAAUUAUUUUCAGUACAAUUCAUGACAAUUUCUAAAAAUAGAAAAUAAAAAGAAUUAUUUGGCUAAUUUAUUACCAGUUUGAAAAUAAAAACAUUAUAUUCAGAAAUAACCACUUGAGUUAUCUUGAUGACGUAUGCAAUUUAGUACAUCUCCACUAGUACAAAUACAAAUUUUUAUAAAAUCUAGCUGGACACGUAAAACCUAAAAAAGAGAAAGAAAGUCCAGAUCAAAAGAAGAAGGAAAAUCCCAACCUAACCGAAACCCUGUAUUAAAGCCAUAUAUAAAUCUCGGGGAGUAUAAUGUAAAACACUCAUACUUAUGCCAGCACUCCAGGGCUUCCAAAGGAAAAAAAUGAGGCAAUUCUUAGACACAUUGACUUUUCAAUUAAGUUACUGCUGAUUAACUUACAUAAGUUAACACACAUUAGUACACAACAAAGAGUUUCCACUUUCUAAUUUUUAAGAUCUGAAUUUUGUAAAAGGAGACUGUUGAAUAAAUAAAAUUUUGGCAUUAAAAAUUAUAUUCCAACAAGUGCCAGACAGUAGAGGAUGUGUCACAUCUUUGAAAACACAGAUUCUUCUCACUACUUUGGGUCCAGUAUUUGUAUACAUAUGCAUCUACAUGUACUACAGGACACAAACAAACAAACCAACAAACAAACAAACAAACCUUUAAUUGAUUUGUGAAGCAGAAAUUCAGGUCUUCCUACUCUUCUUUGUUUCCUCUCUAAUCAAAGUUAAAUAUGACCUCAAAGGAAACUACAUAAAACUGUUAAAGUAAACUUAUGAGUGUCAGUUUAACUGGAUUUGACAAAUAGCUUAAUAUUUUUAGUAUUUUGAUAGAACAUUAAAAUGGUAAAUUUUGCAAUAAAGUCCAAUCUGUUGUUAGAGUUUUAUGGAUAGUUGCACAGGUGCCACGCUCAGAGCAUUAGGAAGCGAUGUGAAGAAAGUGCAGGAACAGCUGGACCCACCUAAGACCCUUCCUCCUGUCAGCCAGCUGCUAAGGCACACUAAGAUUCUGUAAGUGGGGGAAAUAGGCUUUACUUUCUAAGUUUCCCCUGUCUUUCCACCAAAUCUCCAGAGACAUGUCUAGGUUGUAGAAACUUGUAAAAACUUUCCUCUCUAGGAUAAUUGGUAUUUAUAGUUUUCAGUGCCUUGGAACAAUGGUUUGUUGUUUUUCAAGACAGGGUUUCUCUGUGUAGCCCUGGCUGUCCAGGAAUUUACUCUGUAGAUCAGGUUGGCCUCAAAAUCCGAGAUCCACUUGCCUCAGCCUCCAGAGUGCUGGGAUUAAACCAUCACCACCUGGUUCAGAAGGAACGUUUUAAUAUUCCCGCUUUUAAUUGUGAUGAAAUUUUCCCCAAAUUAAAUGAGGCAGAGCUUGAAAAUUAAUUUUCAUCAAAUAUACAUUUCACCUGUCUAAUAUAUGCAACUAUUUUCCAAAUAAUCACAUUUUUUCUUUUUCUUCAGAAAAUAGCCUUUUAAAAGAAGAACUUGGUCUUUACUUUCUAAGGUAAUAUGCUGAACAGUGUUUAUUACCUUACAAUUAUCUACAUGAAAAAUAUUACUAGAUGAGCGAGAAGCCUCUGGUCCCUUUCCAAUACAUUCAUGGACAGGCAGAAAGGAAUGUUUACUUAUGCCAAAACCACAAAUAAGGCAAACUGUGGACAAUCACCUUUCCUAACAAGGCCUAUGGUUUUAAUUCACAGAUAUCUGCAAUGAGUUGGAUCAAAGAAAAAGAAAAAAAAACCCUCAAUUUCCUUGGUUUAUAUAUUAGUCUUAGCCCCAUCCCCCCAAUUUAUGCAAAUGUUCUUAUCAUUCAAUGCCUUUAGCAUAACUUGUUCAGAAAAUUUCUGUAUGACUCCCUGCUUCCAUCAUAAAAAUGUUACACUUAACAUGCUGGGUCCACAGAUGGUCUGCACAUUUGAAUUUAUUAUACUGUCUUCUUUUACAGAAACUAAAUACUAAAUUCUCCAAAAGAACAUAGCUUCAACUUUAUAUACUUUCACAUUUGUGUGUGUGUGUGUGUGUGUGAGUGUGUGUGUGUGUGCGCACGCACUUUUAUUGAUGGUCAAUGAAAUACUCAUUUGAAAAAUAAGUCUUAUAAUAAUUUACAAUGUAAUAUAAAUUCAUUGCCAUUCUAGUUUUUAUGAAAAAACACAGCAUGACACAGAGAGACCAAACUAUGACUAAACUUAUUUUUAAUAUAAUAAAUUAUAUUAGAAAAGGGAAUCAGACAGUUUAAGUUCUCACGCUUUUAACAUCUCUAACAGUUAACAGGUGUUUUAAACAAAAACUGAAAAUUCCUGCUUGACUGGGCUAAGGUAGAUAUCACUGGUAAAGUGUUUGCCACCCAUAUUUGGGGCUCUGGGUUCUCUCUCCAGCCAUACACCGACAGAUAGAGACAGAGACACACAUACAGUCAGAUAGACACAGAGACAUACAGCUACACAAACACACCCACAUACACCCCACACACAGUUUGAGAAACCACACCCAUAAGAAUUAAGACAAUUAGCAUUAUGAUCAGACAUUUAAUGUAUCUGUGAAGGUGCUCUAGUGUUUUUCUUGUUCUACUUGCUAUGCAUUACAGACACAAGUGGUAACAAGGAUUCUUUGAGUUCACUGUGGAGACAAACGCACUCCUGUGACAUAAAAGAAAAGACUUAUCCUGGAGAACAAAUUAGACUCAAACUCAGAACUUAAUAUCUCAUUGUCCUUAUUUAUGAAAUGAGGCUCACAGUAUUUAAAUGAAGACAGCUUUUUGACUGAAAGGAGUCAGACACAAACUUCUUCAUGCCUGGAAUGGCCUACACAAGAAGUUCAGCAUUCAGAAUGUGAUUUGAGGCUUACUUUUGUCCUGUCUUUCAUUGCUUUAAAUAAUUUGAAAGUUUGAGGUAUCUUUGGUUUAUGGUACCUUGAACCAUUUAACCAACUAAAUAAUGAUAAUAAAAAAAAUAAUAAAAGAGGCUGCUCAGAUUAGAGACAGGCUGAAAUGCCAGUCUUAAUGUUCCUGCAAGACGACAUUUUUUGCUUAAAGAACAUCAUUUGUGUCAGUAAGUGACUAAAUGCAGGCUAAAUUCUUAAAAAUGAAGCUUCAGACAUUUACUAUCCCUUGAUGUUUUUUAAAAUCUUAAAAAAAAGCAUACUGUUCAAGAGUAGUUCUAUUUCUCCAAUUUAACAUGGAGAUUAAUACUUUACAGUGCCCUGCACAGUACAGUCAUACAAGUGACACAGGACAUCUGUCUUCAAAUAGUGAAAAAACAGUUAACAUUUCUGGUUCUUCUGCACUUAACACAUUAACUCUGCUAUGUUCCCAACAAUGUAACAAUGUAACACACUUGACAUCACAAGGUUCUUCCUUUCUGGCUAAUCUCACUUUUCCUAGCAUCUGACUGGGUUUAUGAAAAAAAAUCUCAAACCAACCAGGUACAGGGAACAGAACUGAAAACUUAAAAUCAAAUGCUGGGAAAGAAAAGGCACUGUGCUUCAGACCAGGACUGCUCAGUUUUUCUUGGAGCACCUGCUAUGCCAUGUAAACAAUAAAAUCAAUGGGAAUGCACUAGCAUUUAAAAUACUAAUGUUCUAUAUAUUAUCUUAAAUCAAUGAAAUAGAACUAAUUAAUAACCUUAAGCUUACCACCAAAAUUACACAAAAAUCCAUUAGAGUCAAAAUAUUAAUAGUUUUACUUUUUUACAUGAAAACCUAGUGGGCUAGUACUUUCUAAUAGAUACCAUUAUGAUGAUGUAGUCACAUACACUUUAGACAGCAUAAUUACACAUUAAAUAGUGCUCUUACUGUAGAAAACGAUAUUAGGGAUGUGUUUCAUAAUUUCAAUAAAAUUCUUGUAAUUAUUAGAGAAUAACCAUGUAUAAAACUAAGAUGCAUAGACUCUCGUGACAUAGGACUGAAACAAUAUGACUGCCUUAUAUAUUCUCCAAGAACAUAUAGGUCACCUUUGAUCUAUGUUAGGCACAGGGCUAUCAAUUUUCAAGCCAUACAUCUCUACUAUACCAAGUAUGUCAUGUCUUAUAAACUUGCAAAUGCUUAACUGUUCCACUGCCCCUCUCAGUGAAGAACAAAGAGAUGCAUGCCUAUGGCAGUGACCUGAGCACGGGGAUCUUAGAAAGUGAACGUCACUGAAUUUACAUGUGUGUAUGCUCACACACCUACAUGCCAUCUUUAACAGACUUCUUUUAAUUGGAAUUGGACAAAAAGGGGUUUGGGUAUUCUUUUUAUUAUAUUUUUAUAUUUGAAAGGCAGCUGACAAAAAAAACCUAUUAGCGAGAAAGUAAUGUGGCUUGCCCACUUAAAUCUACUUCUUAUAUUCUCCACAGGUCUUGACUACAAGAAGCUUGAAUAUAUAUUUCCAGUGAGCUUAGUAUCUUUUUGGCCUAUCAUCUACUAAUAAACCUUACUCAAAAGUCCACAAUUAACCCACUAGAUGGAUCCAAAGUACAGAAGCAGUAAACAGAUGAAACAACCCCUUCUACCAGUUAUCACUGGCCUUCCAACAGCACAUGCUGCUUUUAAACACUUUCAAGUGGCAAAAAAGGAAAGAGUGAAUACACCAAACUCUAUACUCUUUUAGAAAAAUGUAAUUAGUUCUCAAAAAUUAAAAUGCUAAUACUUAAAAUGCCUUUCCACAAAAAUCACUGAAGCUACAACAAAUGCAUUUUUCCUAAAAUGUGAGAGAACCAGAACAAAGCUGAGGAUGCAGCUUCUAAGCCACAGUCAGGUGAGCACUCAGCAGGGUCGGUAACGCUUUGCAAUGUGUAUCAGACAUUUCACAAUGGUAACUCUCUCUGAAUCGCUCAGGAUACUUUUUACAAUAUACAAAAUUCCUAUUUCUUUUAAAGAUUGAUUUUCAAAAAUACACUAAGUAGUUAACACUGAGUAAUUAAAAAAAAGAUUAUUCUUGCUUAGCAAUACAGAAAACUAUAUAAUACCUAAAAAUGGGUUAUAAAUGGACUAGGACUAUAUUAUUUGAAAAUGUUGAAACACAUUUUUAAAAAAAUAGUGAUUUGUGUUAUAAAUCUCCACAGGGUCAGAAUUCUAACAUGAUUAGAAACAGAUGGUAUCCCAGGAAAGUAAGGCUGGACCUGAAACUCCAAACAGGAAACACGGCCCUCGAUAGCUGACUGCUUCCCUAAUCAUUCCCAGAGCUUCAUACUUGUUCUUUUUAUGAAUGCCCAGGAUGACUUUCAUCUUUCCCAUCCAUCUACAAAGCAUCACACAAUACUCAAUAUGUUUAUGUCCUUAUGUAUAAAUUAUGUUUGUAAUAUAUGAGAAUGUAAAAAUAAGUACUUUCAAGCUUAUGCUAGAAAUACUAAACUAAAAAGAACUCAAAUUCAAGUAUAUACUAAUUAAAAGCCAACAACUACUAAGCUGCUGGAGUCACUAUUUCAAGUAACUGUUAAAGAUAGGACUUCAAUGACACAAAUAAAUAUACAAUCUAACUUAUGGUAAAAGAAUAAAACCUGCACAGAUUUUACUCAAGUGCAGAAAAAUCGCACUACUUUUCAUUAAAUAAGUCAGUAAGGCACUGUAUGAAGAAAGAAAAAGGCUUACCGUUUUCCCAUUGUAGUAAUACAUCAAAGAAUUGCUGCCCAUCCCAGGGACAGGAUAAGCACAAUACAUGUUGAUUUUGAAACUGUUAUUUGCAGCUGACGCACACAGCUUCUCUCCAACACAUAUACCCACACAGGCAGCACAAGCCCUUAGUACUGUGCAUUCACACAUGGAACUACUCAAAAGGAACUUAUGCAAAAUAGGACUGAACCAACUCACAGAGCAGAGGGAGGGUUUAUGCUGUAAUCAACUUCUUUCAAUUUCCACCAAAUCCUUGCAUUGGUGGAGGAUACCAAAUAGACAAACUCUGGAGUGCUGAAAUAAAUAUACCAAAGCCACACACUGUAUCUAAAUAAAAAGAAACACUGUAUCCUAAACGCAAAUGUACCAAAGAAUGACCAAUUUACACACACACACACACACACACACACACACACACACACACACACACACACACACACACGGACGAGAGAGAGAGAGAGAGAGAGAGAGAGAGAGAGAGAGAGAGAGAGAGAGAGAGAGAGAGAGAAGAGAGACCGAGACUGACCAAUCUUCAGCUAAUCUGUUUUUAGUUUGAAUUAAAUUAAAGCACUUGUGAAAGGAAGCCUUGCUUGCUACACCUCCAGCAACAUUACCAUCUGGCAUGUUCUAAAGUUGCUUUCAACUCUGAUAAACACAUGAUCAAGCAAUCAGGAACUGGAAACACUGAAUCACACAGGACAAGGAGGAUCCAGACAGUUAAGCCUUGUUCAAAAUUACUUCCUGGAGAAAGUGGACCAUCAUUUAAGUACCAUUUCACUGACUAGAACUACUGUGUUUUAGAAUUUUUGUUGUUGUUGUUGUUGUUGUUGUUUGUUUUUGUUACAUUGUGAAAAAAUAUUUUUUAAAUAGAAAUUCUCUUCAAAAUAAAUUACCCAUGCUUAAAAUGACAUUCUUAAAAAGGGAAAGUUCAAUGAAUAUAGAAGUUUGUUUAUAAAGUUCCUUGGAUUUCUCAUUACAACACUAAUGAAUAAUUUACAAAAGAAUGCACCCUUUAGGACAUCUAGUAUGUAAUAAGCAAUUUGGUGAUGGAAAAGGAAAAAGUGUUAUUAUUUAACGAUUGAAAAGCUGGUGAGCGUAGUGAUAAAAUGUACAUUCUAGCUAGUAAAGUUACUAGAAGUCUCUCCUUAUUCCUAUGGAAGUUAUUUAUAGUUACAUAUUCAUGUUAAAACAUUUCUUAGAAAAAUGUCUGAUUUUUCUAGCUCAUUAUACUGUAAAAUCAAAACAUGAAUCUUUGUCUCUAUGUUUCGCCCAGACACAAUUUACUAUCUACAACGUUCUCACAGUUUAUCACUUGGGUAGAUUCUAAACCAGAAAAAACAGAGUAACAACCUUUAUUUUUUUCAUUACUCACAUCAAACCCUCUUUGUACUAUUUCUUCCCUCUGUGCUUCAAAGAUAACAGCAGGACUGUGCAAAGGGACACAUCACUUUUUUAAAAGACACUUUUCAUGAGGCAGAAAUCCACUGAAAUAUUCUAUGACUAGUCUGUAAGAGACAAAAACCGAACCAAUCAAACAAACAAAAACCCCAAACAAACACCAUUCUUAGGAAACAUACUGAUUGAGUCACAGCAAUAAAACAGCACCAGGCAAUAAGGCCGACUAACACAGGAUUCAAAAGCUGAGCGCAUCAGGCCAACAAUGAGAGCUCCCCACUCUCCCCAGAUAGAGAAAAGGGCUAGCAGCAGCUGCAAAAGAACAUCACUGCACAGCAGCUAUUAAAUGCCAGUCUGCAGAGCACAAGAAACUUCCUCCCUCCUGAGAGACCACAAAGGCCUGCUUCAGCCCUUGGAGAACUGUGUGAAAAGCUUUGAUUUACAAUUAACAAUGCCAUGUCUUAAAACCUUUCAAGUAAAUUUUAGUCUUUCAUAGACAAGUUGUUCUCUUUUGACAGGAUAACUAAACUGAAAAAAAAAUCAAUCUAAGAUAAAAUUUCUCUUUUCUAUUAAUUACUAAAAAAACACCAUACUUUUCAAUAGUAAUCAUGGGAGAAUAAGGAGAAGAGGAAAGCCACAAUACACUGACAACUUUCAGUUAUUUUCUUUUGUACCUGAAAUAACUUUUUCAUGAGUAAGAAAAGAAAAGCCUGCAACAGUUAAGCUCAACAGAGAAAGUGCUUGCUAGCUUUGCUGGUAAAACAAGCAGUAUAAUGUAAAUCCUCUAUGCAACCAUGGGCUAUCACAACAUAUGGAAACAGAAUUCCCUCCCCAGCUUUUAUUUUAGAGGCAAGAAUGCAAUAUGAUGAGGGCAACAAUGAAGCCAACAAAAAAAACUCAAAGUAAAACCAAACAAAUUUAUUUUAGAGGGGGUGCUAUAAAAUCAACAACUGGUUAAGAUUUACUGUUCAGUUUAAACACAGAACGGAGGGCUGAAGAGAUGCUCAGCAGUUAAGAGCACUGACUGCUCUUCCAGAGGUCCUGAGUUCAAUUCUUAGCAACAACAUGGUGGCUCACAGCCAUCUGUCAUGGGGUCUGAUGCCCUCUUCUGGUGUGCCUGAACACAGCUACAGUAUAGUCAUACUAAAAUAAAGCCUCCCACCCAAGCCAGGUAGACUUCCUCUCUCAUGAAGCACCAGAUAUACAACUAUCUAAAUUGAGAGGAGGUCCUCUCACACCUGAGCAUGUCUGUAUAAUAAUGUUAAUAAAUUCUUCCCCCAAACCAUAAAAUCAUGGAGAAAAUCAAUGGGAAUUUAUAUAGACCCCUCACCCCAUUCUACCUUCCUGCUAGAGCAAGGGCUUUUACAUUUGUCAUUCUCAAGCACCAUCUUUGAAAGUGCACCUUACCUGAAGAAAAUGGCAACUGGUUAAUAUGAGUAAUCAUUUUCUUUGCCACAAUUAUUAGUUUUCUUCUACGACAAGGUCUUUUUUUCUAUUAAAAACCAAAACCAAAACCAGCCAACAAAAUCCCCGGUUUAUGCAACAGCUGCAGCUCCUUUCUCUGGGCAACUCAUCUUACAGGGAAUGCUUCUAGCCCAUCAAGUGCUGCGCUGCUCAAUGAGCUUGUUUCAUAUCUUUGCUUUUUUUUUUUUUUUCUUAAAGGAACAUGUCAGGGGUUAAUCUUAUGACUCGGUCUGACAAAACGAGUCAGCUGGAGACAGUGCCAAUUUUCAAGACUGAUUUCAGGCAGACCUGUCGCCUGCACAGUUCUGCACUGUUAGGAAUUCUUCAUCCUGACUUGUUUCUAUCCACAAUGCUGCAGAAGAACUUAGGUCAUGAUCAGACUUAAUAUUCACAACAUUUAGUCUAACAACCUAAAAUAACUCACAUGUUAUCACAAGAUGGGAAGCCCCGAGCACACAGGCAGCAUGAUGAAUGACAGAGACCCUAAAAAGACUGUGACUCGGAGCCACACAGCUUUGAUUAGCAAACCCAAGAUUCCCAGCUUAAGGUUUAUUGCCUUUCUCCAUUAAAAAAAAAGUUGUUGCUAUUAUAAUAUUCAUAAGGCAGAGGCCUAAACUAGGUAAGUAAAUGGUUUACCUCUUUUCUGAAGAUGUAGGAAAAAAGUGUUUUCAGUUAAGUCAACUAUGCUAAAAACUGUUCUGGAAAUUUCAAAUUCCAGGCUUCUCUAUAAAAGUCUCUUUGUAUUUUGUUUGUUUUUUUUUUUCCUUCAUUUUCUGUUGAUUCAAAAUAGAUAUUCCUUGGCAAGACAGGCAAAAUUAAAUGAAAUUUUGUUUUGCGUUUUUUAGUCUUCAUCUUCAUUUGUUCAUCUUCACUUCUGGUAUUUGAAUCAAAACAAGGGUCAUAUCUCAUUAAAAACAUAUUUGUUAAUUUAUCCUUAAGCAAGAAUGCUUCAAGUAACAUAAAAUUCUACAGUGUUCCAAAGAAAAUUUUAAUUAAAAGACAGUGAACAGUUAAUCUCAUUGUAUAUUCUUCUAAGCAAGCCACAUUCCACUAUCGGAAGAAAACCAUCUAACCUGGCUUGAAAAGUAAAUCUAAACAUGCUACAAAUAAUUCUUCAUAAAAAGUUGACAUCAUUUCUAAGAAAAGUAGUCCCUAGAGGGUAGAAUUUAAGGUAAUGAAAGCAUAUGUAAAAGUUAACACAAGUUCAAUAAUCCUUGAAGGAUGAAAUUCAGUAAAUUACAAAUUAUUGAAUCCAAGGCAGGUCAGGAUGAAAAGAGAUGCAGGAGGUUAAACAUGGACACUCCCCACUGUGGUGGCAUAUACCUAUAGUCUCAGCCCUCAAGAGGCUGAGGCAGUCAGACUGCUGUGUGAAGAUGGCCUGGCUAAGCCAUAGCUCUUAUCUCAGAAACAAGGAGGAGCAGAAUCUGCAAGUGCACAAAUUCAAAUGAAAGCCAUCUCCCAGAAGAAAGGAAUUGAGAGACCCAGUGUCCUAAAUUUGCAGAAUUUGAGGCAGUAUUGUUAAGUCAGGCAUAUAACAAGACACCCACAUUUCAGAUUUUUUUAUCUGUAAUUUUUGUAGUAUGUGCUACUUUACAACAAACAAAUCAAAGAAAGGAACUGAAUGAAGAUGCUGCUUCCCAGUCCGUAUACUUCACACUCUAAAACGCUUCAACAAACAAAGACAAGAAUAUAAAAAUCCAGUGAAAUAGUUCACCCUUUAACCCCAUUACUGAUGACUGCUCUACAUUAAAGACAACAGCUAUUUGAUCUGAAAUCAUAGUGAUCUUGUAACCACUCUUUAAAAAAAAAAUCACUGACCUAAGCUUGUGACCUUUAUUUUGGUAAUUCCCCAUGAACAAAUUUUUCCAUCUAAGUCUUAAUAAUGAAGAUAAAGAUUUUAACCAAAAUCUAACAACUGUGCUCUACACUAGUGCACAUCAUUUGGAUGCGGGAGAUGUGGCUGAGUGUGUGCUCAGUCUGCCCACAGUCCUGGUUUGGCCUCUCAUGUCAUCAGCAAAACAAAACAAAACAAAACAAGUGACUCCGUCUUAAAAUCAUUACUUAGCACAGAGCAAAGACACAUGAGAAAGCUCAUCUAGAUGGAAUAGCAAGGUUUUUAUUGCUUCUUUACAAAAUCUCAAAAUCUAAUUUAAAAUCUAGAAAUAUUUCAUGAUUAACAAAAUAGAAAAUAUCCACCUUUAUAGUUAACAGAAACCAAUUAAAUAGCCUGUACUUUGUGGGGGUAGGGGCAAGAAUACUUGUUUAAUUUCUCUUUGAAAAUUCCCACGACUCUACGGAGAAUGUGUAAGAGCUGUCCAGUCUUCUGGAGAAGCAUGCAGGCUGUCCAAUAGGACUCCUAUGGCAGACACCUAUAGAGGUGUCAGGCCACUUCUAUGGUAUUUCUUCCUCCAGUCCUCUAUGAGGAACAGUUGCCACUACUGAAUUCUCUCAGAGACAGAGCACAGGGUAUAUACUUCUUUGGAUCACAUGCCACCAUGACAAGGCAGUUUUCUUUAAAAUGUUAAAAUGGGGGGUGAGGAGAGAAACACCCUCCCCUAACAUUAAUUAAUAGUUCCUGGAUCUGUUGGCUGUCCAGUUCUUUCACCACACGAAUUGGAGAUUUUUACUUCUCAUUCAUCACUUAAAAUAAUCUUGUAUAGAGUUAUAUGUUGCAACUUGAUAAUUUUUCCAGAGAAGGCUCUAUAAUCAUAAGACUGCCUACCAGUAUAUGUGCACACACAUAAACAAAACCAAAUGACAAGGACCCAGAGGUCUUACUACCCCAAAAUAUACCAGGACUUUUGAAAAGUGUUGAAGACUGGCACAAGGUUUUGAACUUGUUAAGCAAUCUAAGAAAAACUAUAGGCAAACGAAAGUUUCUUAUGAAACAUCCACAAAGGAGAGUGCAGACAGGUUUUAGACUUUUUUUUUUUAAGUCACAGAGUUUGUUUUUUCUAGGCACGCUUUUUCUUCUGGGCUGGUGAAACUUUAACAGAGGUAGAACACACCAGGAUAUUCUGUUAUCUCCACAUUUCUUUGUCUAGGUAGAUCCCUCCAUGAUAUGCAAUCCACAGCUCCAAGCUUAAAUACAUUGAGUUAUUUCUAGGUCAUGAUCUAUUUUUUUUCAAUAAUGAUUUAUCUCUGAACAAUUAACACUCAAGGAAUAAAACAAGGCUAGCUUCUAUUACCUGUACUAAAAGGAAUUAUACAGUUCCUAAAUUUGUCUUAUUUUAAAAAACAAUUUCGUAGUUGCAAAUUCUGCAGAUUACUCUUUUGUUUUGUUUUGCUUUCGAGACAUGGAGAAAUGGCUUCUGCAUCUCAAAUGCUGGGAUUAAAGGAGUGCACCACUACCACCAGGCAAAAGCUGCUGCUGCUGCUGCUUCUCCUUCUCCUCCUCCUCCUCCUCUUCUUUUUUUUGGGGGGGGGGGAUGAGGGGAGAGUGGAUGUUGUCUACUUUUUUUUUCUUUUUUUUCUUUUUUUUUUUCAGAGCUGGGGACCGAACCCAGGGCCUUGGGCUUGCUAGGCAAGCGCUCUACCACUGAGCUAAAUCCCCAACCCCAUGUUGUCUACUUUUAACAACAUCCAUCUAAUACUUCGUUUUGAAAACACAUCUGAGAAAGGUGAAAUCAACAGGGAAGGGGAUAAAAAACAUAUUAACGCUGUCUUUCAACACUGGGGAAAAAAAUCAAGGGGCUACAGAGAUGGCCCUGUGGUCAAUGAGUACUUGCUGCUCUUCCAGAGGUCCCAGGUUUGAUUCCUGGCACCUACAUGGCAGCUCACAGUCAUCUGUAACUCUAGUUCUAGGGGAUCUGAAACCCUCUUCUGACCUCCACAGACACUACACAUAUUACACAGACAUACACAAAGGCAAAAUAACCAUAAGUAAAUCUUUUUAAAAAGUAUAACAAACAUUGUCUAAUAUUUAUAAUGAUUUACCAGGAAAUGAAGUCUGUAACUAAAAGAAGGAGCCCUACAGAUAAACUUGGGGGAAAGAAACAAAUUUUGAUAAAAAUCUGUUAAACUACUUGCUCUAGACUCUGAAUCAGACGUGUGUGUACAAAAGCAUUACAUUCUCCCUACCACAGAUCAAGAUAGGUGGCAUAUGUCAUAGAGAACUGUGGGCUAUAACUUACAAAGCCAAAAAAAACACACACCAAAAAAAAAACCCCCAAACCAAAACAAACACAAACAAACAAACAAACAAACAAACAAACAAACCCUGCCUGAGGAACUAGGGCUCAGGUUUCAGCUGUCUUUUCAGAAAAUGAAAUUUCAGAUCAUUCCAUUCAAUUACUUCUUCAAAAUCCAGGUAUCAAAUGAUGCUGAAGAUUUCCUAGCAAUCUGACUAAUUAAGCCUUUCCUAAGUUUAAUAUCUGUAAUACCAGCACUCAAGAGGCAGAGGUGAGAGACGGCUAUGACUUCAGGCCAGCCUGGACUACAUAGUGAGACCCUCUUACUAUGAGAGAGAGGGAGAGUCCAGCUAACCACCAACCACUUUCAUGUUUUAUCAUCAACUGCACCCCCAAACUAGCAAUUCUUGCUUUGAAAGACUUUUGUCUUAAAUUCUUUCAGUCGCACUGAGUAUGCUUCUCUGUUUAAAACAAAACUAGAGCCAUAUACUUGCCACCCAGACUUCUGAUUAGAAGAGGAGUGAGGGACUGCUGCAGCAGUACAUACACUAAAAAAGAAGAAUGCAGAGAUGAUCACGAUGGCACCUAUGUAGGAUGCUGUACAUAUUUAUGCAGCUUGAUAGAGCUUGCUCUUGUUGACUCAACUGUCUUAAGGAAAGAAACAGUGAAGCUGCCAUGCUGAAGUAAACUGGCUAUGUGUGCAAGACAUGAGUCUACUUUCAUUGCUAGAGUGCCUCUUUUCAAUACAUCGAGCUCCAUAAUUGCUAGGUAUUCUGAAAUAUGUUAGAUCUGGCCAUAUGCUCAGUUUCUGAAACCCAGAUGUGGUAGUUUGAAUAGGUUUAGAAUGUUUGGUCAUAGGGAGUGGCACUAUUAGGAAGUGUGGCCUUACUGGAGUACAUGUGGUCUUGGUGGAAGAAAUACUGUGCUGAUAGCUAGGUUCUUAGGUCUCCUAUGCUGAAGGAGACCAGUGUGGAAUCAGAGAACCGUCUCUUGGCUGCCUGAAGAAAACAAUCCACUUCUGCUGCCUGUGGAUCAAGAUGUAGUUCCUCUAGCAUCAUGUCUGCCUGGACACUGUCAUACUUCUACCAUGAUGGUAGUGCAGUGAACCUCUGAAAGUGUAAGCCAGUCACAAUGACAUGGUAUUCCCUAGAAGAGUUGCCUUGAUCAUGGUGUGCGUUCAUAGCACUAACACCAAACUAAGACACCAGAGUUGUUGCAGUUGAUGUUCAGUGUCCACAGCAACCUCAAAUCUUAUUUUCAUCAUCAUACCUACUAAUAGUAAAAUGAGAAAACGAAAAGAAAGCUUUACAGGAAAUCAAAGAUCCAGGAAUCCCAGAACCACAUUACAACUCCUGAGCUCUAAGAUAAGCAUCAAAAAAAAAAAAAAAAAAAAAAAAAAAAAAAAAAAAAAAAAAGCUCUGAACAUAACAAGUGCUAACAACUGAGGUAUAAGUGGUUACUGCCCUGUAAUAUGUAAUAUGUAAUAUGUAAUAUGCUCAUUUAAAGUGAUCAUCUAUCUUAAAAGUUAUGGAGUAUUUAGAAAAACAAUGGAAGGCUGGCAUCUUACCAACAGGUAAAAACUCUUACCCAACUUUGGUAUUAUUUACUCAGCAACAAUUUUGACAUCUUAAUGUGCAUUUAUAUGUAGGUUGGACAUUAGAUUAAUUUAGUUCCCCUAGAAAAUGAAAGAUUUGUAGUCAAACCCUUGAAAUAACUUCAGAAGACUCUUUAGAGAGAUAGGUGAGAGCUGAGCUGACGAGAGACCCUGUCAAAGGAGUGGACUGUGGCUUCUUACCAUCCUUUCACAAAUGCGUGGGGCCUAUAACACGAUUCUUUAUAUGCUCUGGCUAGAAAAUUUAGUAGAGCAGUAAAAGGGACUAUGAAAUGGAUUAUAAAUGAAACAUAGCUGCAAUGAGCAAACGGCCUGAGAACUCACAGGAUGAAGUCUAGGCAACACCACCAUACCAACUUUAGAGUGUGACCUUGAGGAUGUGUGCUUUCCUAACCUUGAAAGAGUUUAUCUGUGGUACUAUUGUUAAACUUGGAUCAUAUAACUUCGACACACCACAUUUUCUAACACUAGGACUCUAUGCUGGAAAUGAACUAUACAUCUCCUAAUUCUCAUGUAUUUAAACUGAGAGUCUAUGCUCACAAAAAUGGAAAUAUCAUUGGUAAACUUUGUCAAGCAAAGAAUUAUUUUUCUGAUUAAAAAAAAAAAACAGAGAGCUUCCCCCUCAUCUUACAGUAUUUAUAAGAUUUAAGCAUAGUUAAUAGUCUAUAAUAAAAGGCUAGAAUAUGGCUACAGUUUUCCUUCUCUGAGGAUAUUUCAGAAAAUCUUCUGUAGUUAGACCAACUUCAUGACAAUUAAGCAAGGUGCAGGAGGCAAGACAGCGACAGCCCUGCUGCUAAUCAAGGAUUUGCUAAUUUAUUUAGUAUCUAUUAGCGAAUGGGGACAGAAAAAAAAAACCAAAUUAAGCCACAUUCCCACUUCAUAAAAUGUUGAAGGUAAAGAAUAAACUGGAUAAACUAUUCAGAAAGUGUAGUAGGGAAGGAAGGAAGGAAGGAAGGAAGGAAGGAAGGAAGGAAGGAAGGAAGGAAGGAAGGAAGGAAGGAGUAGUGGGUGUAUGUUGCCAUUUUCUAUAGGGUGGCAAUGAGAGACCCCAAUGAUCAGAGAGAAAACCAGCCAUGCAGGUACAGAGGACCCCAUGGGAAUAGUGGCAGAGAAUCAUAAAUACACAGAAGGGCCUGAGGCUGGACCCAGGGAGGGGACGAUGGCAGAAGAGGAUGUGAGAGGAAGGAGGUAGGUCCUGAGGGUCUGCUAAGCCACUGUAAGGACUUUGGCUUAGUACUGAUAAGCUACUCAGGAUGUAAGGGAGAGGGGAGAUGACUCAGAGAGUUAAGCAGGCUCCCUUCAUGAAAGAAAGCACUGAAGGAAAACCACAAGACUAGCUGGGGAGAGGUACACUGAUCUAAGACUAGCUGGGGAGAGGUACACUGAUCUGAGACUAGCUGGGGAGAGGUACACCGAUCUAUGACUAGCUGGGGAGAGGUACACCGAUCUGAGACUAGCUGGGGAGAGGUACACUGAUCUGAGACUAGCUGGGGAGAGGUACACUGAUCUGAGACUAGCUGGGGAGAGGUACACUGAUCUGAGACUAGCUGGGGAGAGGUACACUGAUCUGAGACUAGCUGGGGAGAGGUACACUGAUCUGAGACUAGCUGGGGAGAGGUACACUGAUCUGAGACUAGCUGGGGAGAGGUACACUGAUCUGAGACUAGCUGGGGAGAGGUACACUGAUCUGAGACUAGCUGGGGAGAGGUACACUGAUCUGAGACUAGCUGGGGAGAGGUACACUGAUCUGAGACUAGCUGGGGAGAGGUACACUGAUCUGAGACUAGCUGGGGAGAGGUACACUGAUCUGAGACUAGCUGGGGAGAGGUACACUGAUCUGAGACUAGCUGGGGAGAGGUACACUGAUCUGAGACUAGCUGGGGAGAGGUACACUGAUCUGAGACUAGCUGGGGAGAGGUACACUGAUCUGAGACUAGCUGGGGAGAGGUACACUGAUCUAAGACUAGCUGGGGAGAGGUACACUGAUCUGAGAAAGAGAGAAGGGAACUGGACAAAGAUGGCACAGUGCAGGUACAGAAGGACGGUUAAAUCUCAAGGGUAUUUCAGUAUGAGAAAUAAGGUACUUUUUCCUCCUCUUUAGGAAAAAAAAUGUCUCCUGUACUCUGGUUUCUACUAAUGUUUUAGAAGAAAAGUCCUUACAUCUUUGAUGAGGUCAAUCCUAAAUCAAUACAGAGCUGACACUGAUGCCCGAAUUACCUUUUCUGUUGUAAAAACAUUGUUUUGGGUAAAAUUUAACAGCAUAUUUUAGAAGACAAAUUGGGAACAAAAGUUUGUUUCUUAUAUAAAGAUAAAGAAAGCAAGUUAGCAUAUUUUCCAUCAUUUAGACAAUCAGAGAAGGAAACUGAGAAGUACCAUUUACAACAGGAAAUCAACCAGUGUUCCUUUCUGGAUGAGGAAGUAAAUAGCUAUACAGACAUCAUUUCCAGCCUCUUUGACUGAAAUAAUCUUCUGAGUAAUAUAUACUCUAUGACUAGAAGACAAUGAUUCAACAGGAAAAUGUUCAGAGUUACUUCUCUUCACAGGUUCAACUUCUAACUCAUGUCUUUUAAGUAUAAUCAUCUUGAAGACGGGCCUAUAUUCUCCUUGUACUUGGCCUUCUUUUUGUUUGUUUAUUUAUUUUUUGAGAUAGGGUUUCUCUAUGUAGCUUUAGCUGUCCUGGAAUUCCCUUUGUAGACCAGGAUGAUUUUGAACCCACAGAGGUGUGCUUCUGUCUCCCUAGUGUUGGGAUUGAAGGCAUGCCCCACCACUGCCCAGCUCAUUUCAGAACACUUGAAAUGACGUUAGCAGAAGGGUCUCACUGAAACCUAAUAGGAAAGAGUUGGUAAUUCUCAAAUUCUUAUUCCUCCAGAGGACCGGGGACUAAAUACAGGGAAUACUCUACCCCUGAGUGAUAUCCCUAACCUUGGUUUUUGAAAACCUUAAAUAUCUUUAAUGAUGCUGGGAGAAAUAGCUGCUUAUGAUUCCAAACCAAACUUAAAACAACUCAAGUACAAAUCAAAACAUGAACUUUUAUUUACUAAUCAGAGUUUUAAAAGUUAAAAAUCAUGUAAGAACCAUAAAAAAUUCACCUACAUUCAUAAAGAUUAACAUUAAGAAAAUGAAGUUUCCAGGCACAAACCUUCAUGUUAAACGGCACUUAAUUCCUACAUGUUCUACUAUCAUACAUACUUGCAUAGAAAACAGACCACAGCACCCAUCUUCAGCUUAUGUUUUACCACCAUGCUGGGCUAGAACAAAGAUGAUAACUGGAGUGUACACACAUCUUUAAUAUCAUCUGAUGUAACACUUAAAUCCCAGAACAUUAUAACUCUUGGUUAUUAGCUUUACUGUGCUAGAGGUAAAUGAUUUUAGAAAGCAUCUGACAGUACAAUGAAAACUGGCUCUGUAUCCAGGGCCUUGAUGACAGAGACUGCCUUUGUAUCCUUUGAGUCUAGUACAGGUCGACAACUUAGGGUUAGCAGGCCGCAAGUCUGAUCUACCAACUAUUCUGAUCAAGUUUUACUGGAACCUGGCCUUGUCUGUUCAUUUCCAUACCGCCUGUAGCUACUUUCAAUACUAUUAACACAACAGUGUCGAGUAGUUUCAGCAGAGACCAUUUAUCCCCUUACCUCCAUAUUUACUGUACAACCCCUUUAUAAAGAACUUUGAGUGAUAAGUGCCUUUAAUGCCAACAUUGGGGCGAAUGGGUAGGGACAGGAGCAGGGGCAAGGGUGACUCUUGAGUUUGAGGUCAGUCUAAGCUUCACAGUAAGGCCCUGUCUCAAGAAACAAAAAGAAAACCAAAAGAACCUUGAUGCAGUAUACUUGAUGGAGUAUAUUUGAUGCAGUAUACUGGGGAAUACUGAAAUACACCCCUGAGCUCUGGACCCCUGCCCAUCUCCUGCCUCCUUUCUCCAGUGAGAAAAUUAUAGGUAUGUGCUACCUAUGCCCAGCCAGACUUAGAUUACUUUUUGAAGACUAAUAAAAUAUUGUCAACACUAAAGUUAUACUGGGUUAGAUACUACAACAAAUAUAGUUGAAAAAGUAAAAAAUCUGAUAGGUGAAUAGUUUAAAAUGUUUGAAAUCUGCUUUAAGACUAUAACGUGUGGGAGGAUUUAGAAACAUUUUCAGAACUUAAAGUGUUUUUAAAUGAUUUAAAGAUUACACACAAAUCUACAUGGCAUACAUUACAGGGAACAAUUAACUUCCCAAGCACAAUCAGUAUUAGCUGAGCAAAGGUACGCAUUUGUGACAACAAAGAUCAUACUCGACAGUGACAUAGGACAGACACUUUUCCUGUCUUAGAGUAAAAUCCGAUCUCACUCAUCCCUGAUGGUAAAAACUUGAAUUUUAUGCUGCUUUAUGUCUUUAUUUUAUAUUAAAAAAAACCAAGCCUGUCAUAUCAGCAAAAUUAAAAAAAGUAAAGAAACAACUUGGUUUUCUACUGAUGGUUAAUAUGCUGACAGUGAUAUUAGGCUUUACGUGCAUUUAAAUAACUCAACAAUGUAUCUUCUAAAAUCCAUACACGUUGUACACAGAAAAUGAAUUGGCCACUCAUUUACAUCUGGUUUAUAACAACUCAGGGAUUCAAAUUAUGAGCAGCCGUAAAGUUCAAUAAGCCUUAUAAGCCACUUUCAGCAAGAUGGUUUACAGGGUAAGGACAUUUAACAUGACAGCUGAUCCAGGGACCCACAUGAUGGAAAGAGACACUCCCCUUACCCUCCACCAAAUACCAUGUAAAUAUGUUUAGAAAGCCGUCUCUGAAUGAAAUUGAGGCAUAUUUUUUGUUUAAUAAAGAACAUAGAGCUCAGAAAGAAACAAUGUGACUGCAGGUGUGCAACCAUACCAGGGCACAACUGGGGCCACAGAAGUGACAGAGUACUCCCCCCCCCCCCCCCCCCGCCUUCUCACUUUAAACCAGAUCAAAGUUUUCUUGGCACUUCACAAAAGUCAACAACAGAGCUAAGUUAAAACCUAUCAUUCAUACUGAUACAAUUCUGACACAGCUUCAAUAGUGGGCACCAUAAACAUCAAAAGUGGUUGCUUUUCUUACUGACAUACGAAACCUUUCAGUUAAACUGGGCAGUUGUACCCUUUACAGAUCGAUCUAACUGUAUAGUCAGAGAAUGAACUGGCCACUGCAGGAAUUUUGUAUUGGAUCAGCCUUAAAACAGAGCUAACCUAUGUGACAGGUGGAAAUAAGACUCUUCCACACCUUCAAUAUGCCCUCUAUGCUUGUUUGCUCAGAACUAGUAAGCAAAUACCAUGUUCAGUCCAUGUUCAAGAGCUGCAGCUCUUCCUUGUGACGUUACACUGAGGUUGACACUGGCUUGUAAAGCUGUUUACUCCUCGUUAGCUAUACUUACUGCCAGUCUUAGAGGUCUCAGGCAAUUGUUUAUGGCAUGCUUCCUUGGCUUCCUAGUGAUGCUCAUGGAGCAGCCCAUCAGGAGAAUCACUCCCAGUUGUUGACCUUGUUAUCUUCAAGGGGCUCUUUCUCUACAGUGCCAACCCCUGACAGGGAUUUUGCUAGUUGAGAGAGCUAAUCAUUUUGUACUUCAGUUUCUCAAGUUAAUAAUUUUUACCAGCCCCAGAAAGAGCUGCUUGUCAACGCUCUUAUUUAGAAGUCUUAGUCUAAAUGUGUUUGGGACUUACUAUUCCAUUUCUUUGUAGUUCUUAGUCUUAUUUAUCCUAUCUGAUAUUACAGAGCAAUACACCAGCAUUAUGUAUGGGUCUAGAAGCCUGUGUGGUUUGGGGCACCUCAGAAUCUCUCCAACUAAUUUGUGAUGUUCAUACAUUUAAGCUUUAAUGUUAAUUCAAAAUUCAUAUUAAUUUUAAAAAGGUAGGCUGAAAUGUCACUAGGAGGGAGUGAGCUUGCCUGCCAUGUAUGGGAAUGGAGCCCUAGGUUUUGAACCCGAGCACUGGAAAAAGAAAAUAACAAUUUCUAACUAGGAUUAUUUUUGUUUGUUGCUGUUGUUUAAUGUUUGAGAGUGUACCUUUCUGUCUACCUCUGGCUGGCCUGGUACUCACUAUGUACCAACUCACAGCAGUUUUCCUAUCUCAGCUUCCCGAAAGCUGGGUUAAUGGGUGUGAACCACCAUGACCAGUUAUAAUUACCAACCUUAAGUCCAUAGGACUGCUUCAAAGCACGAAAAUGUAGUCUAAACUACUCUGAUUCAUAUUGGAAAAUGAAGCUCCUUGGUUGAAAGAGGAGUUAGAAAACAAAACUUUUUAAAUGGGGUAUCAAAAUACAUUUUGAGAACUUACCUAAGAAAUUAUAUUAACAGUUUUUGUGGGAAGAUAUACACGCUUUAAAAUAUAGAACAAAAGACAGUGUGACAUUUGAUCAAGAAAAAAACAAUGUACCAUUAGCCUAUGAUUAACCCUGUAAGCUAGUUAUGUUAAAAAAAAAAUCUAAUAAGACAUGCUGUUUUGAUGCAGUUGAAGAUGCACUUUUUUUUUUUUCUUUUUUUCGGAGCUGGGGACCGAAA